ACAAAUGGAAAUGACUGCUUCGUAGCCAGUUCUCAUUAUAUUUCUCUCCCAGGAGAUGUGAAAUUAGCACUAGGAGAAAUUCAGCAGUGGUUGGGAGUGAAGCCCAAGUCUCUGGCUGCCCCCACCAGGAGAGGGGAGCAGGGAGUCAGUGGGGCUGGCAGGAUCCUGCCCUCUCCAACAUGUCUCAGAAAGGCACAGAAGAAGAAGAAGAGGAAACUACUUGAACAGUACAGAGUUCAUGCAUCAUGGAUCCCUCCAGAGAGGUGCUGGCCAUGGGUCACGCUGACUGUUCUUGGAUUCCUGUACUGCUAUUCUCAUGUUGGAAUUGAAUGGGAGGAGAAUUAUGCUGCACAUUAGGAAUGAUGCAAACAAUUAUUCUUAAGGCCACUUCAGUGAUGUCUCCACUGCCUUUCCCCAGCUUUUGGCAUCUUGUCUCAAGGCUACCCAUGGAUCCAACUGCUGACCCACACUUCACACACCACUGCUGGUGCCAUCUGUACAACCUUCACUCAGGUUGUUCUUCUCAAAGUUCCUCAGUUUGAUCAAGUCCUGCCAAACAUCACUUAGUAAAAAUAAGAGACCUACAAAGGAUAUGAAGAUGUCCUGCUUGUCUUGAACAGUUAUGCCAAUAACCACUGACACCGUGAACUGCAGGUUGGGUAUGAGGCUUUAAAAGCACAACAGCCAUUCAAAAUAAAAUAACACACUGCUUUUGGAGUACUUGGGGG
rnacentral:lncRNA from 1 species